AGCGAACGCUGGCGGCAGGCCUAACACAUGCAAGUCGAACGAAGUCUUCGGACUUAGUGGCGGACGGGUGAGUAACACGUGGGAACGUGCCUUUAGGUUCGGAAUAACUCAGGGAAACUUGUGCUAAUACCGAAUGUGCCCUUCGGCGGACAGAUUUAUCGCCUUUAGAGCGGCCCGCGUCUGAUUAGCUAGUUGGUGAGGUAAAGGCUCACCAAGGCGACGAUCAGUAGCUGGUCUGAGAGGAUAAUCAGCCACAUUGGGACUGAGACACGGCCCAAACUCCGACGGGAGGCAGCAGUGGGGAAUCUUGCGCAAUGGGCGAAAGCCUGACGCAGCCAUGCCGCGUGAAUGAUGAAGGUCUUAGGAUUGUAAAAUUCUUUCACCGGGGACGUUAAUGACGGUACCCGGAGAAGAAGCCCCGGCUAACUUCGUGCCAGCAGCCGCCGUAACAC
rnacentral:rRNA from 1 species